rnacentral:rRNA from 1 species
GAUGAACGCUGGCGGCGUGCUUAACACAUGCAAGUCGAACGGUGAAGCUCCAGUUUGCUGGAGUGGAUCAGUGGCGAACGGGUGAGUAACACGUGAGUAACCUGCCCCUGACUCUGGGAUAACAGCAGGAAACGGCUGCUAAUACCGGAUAUGCACCAUGAACGCAUGUUCGGUGUUGGAAAAGAUUUUCCGGUUGGGGAUGGGCUCGCGGCCUAUCAGCUUGUUGGUGAGGUAAUGGCUCACCAAGGCGUCGACGGGUAGCCGGCCUGAGAGGGUGACCGGCCACACUGGGACUGAGACACGGCCCAGACUCCUACGGGAGGCAGCAGUGGGGAAUAUUGCACAAUGGGCGGAAGCCUGAUGCAGCAACGCCGCGUGAGGGAUGACGGCCUUCGGGUUGUAAACCUCUUUUAGCAGGGAAGAAGCGAGAGUGACGGUACCUGCAGAAAAAGCGCCGGCUAACUACGUG